CUUGACUCUUCAAAGGUCUUGGAAUAAGGGGUGGGUAAGGACGGUGCCAGCCGCCGCGGUAAUACCGGCGCCUCAAGUGGUAGUCGCUUUUAUUGGGCCUAAAACGUCCGUAGCCGGUUUGGUACAUUCGUGGGUAAAUCAAGGCGCUCAACGUCUUGAAUUCUGCGAGGACGGCCAGACUUGGGACCGGGUGAGGUGUGGGGUACUCUCAGGGUAGGGGUAAAAUCCUGUCAUCCUGAGAGGACCACCUGUUGCGAAGGCGCCACACUAGAACGGAUCCGACGGUCAGGGACGAAGCCUAGGGGCACGAACCGGAUUAGAUACCCGGGUAGUCCUAGGUGUAAACGCUGUGGACUUGAUGUUGGGAGUGCUCCGAGCACCCUCAGUGUCGAAGCGAAGGUGAUAAGUCCACUGCCUGGGGAGUACGGUCGCAAGGCUGAAACUUAAAGGAAUUGGCGGGGGAGCACUGCAACCUGAGGAUUGUGCGGUUUAAUUGGACUCAACGCCGGAA
rnacentral:rRNA from 1 species